rnacentral:rRNA from 1 species
GACAGAGGGUGCAAACGUUGUUCGGAAUCACUGGGCGUAAAGCGCACGUAGGCGGCUUGGCAAGUCGGAUGUGAAAUCCCUCGGCUCAACCAAGGAAGUGCAUCCGAAACUGCUGAGCUUGAGUACUUAAGAGGAUCGCGGAAUUCCCGGUGUAGAGGUGAAAUGCGUAGAUAUCGGGAGGAACACCUGAGGCGAAGGCGGGUUACUGGGCUGAUACUGACGCUGAUGCGCGAAAGCCAGGGGAGCAAACGGG